CACCGGAAAAAGAAGAGUGGCGAACGGGUGAGUAACACGUGGGUAACCUGCCCAUCAGAAGGGGAUAACACUUGGAAACAGGUGCUAAUACCGUAUAACAAUCGAAACCGCAUGGUUUUGAUUUGAAAGGCGCUUUCGGGUGUCGCUGAUGGAUGGACCCGCGGUGCAUUAGCUAGUUGGUGAGGUAACGGCUCACCAAGGCCACGAUGCAUAGCCGACCUGAGAGGGUGAUCGGCCACAUUGGGACUGAGACACGGCCCAAACUCCUACGGGAGGCAGCAGUAGGGAAUCUUCGGCAAUGGACGAAAGUCUGACCGAGCAACGCCGCGUGAGUGAAGAAGGUUUUCGGAUCGUAAAACUCUGUUGUUAGAGAAGAACAAGGAUGAGAGUAACUGUUCAUCCCUUGACGGUAUCUAACCAGAAAGCCACGGCUAACUACGUGCCAGCAGCCGCGGUAAUACGUAGGUGGCAAGCGUUGUCCGGAUUUAUUGGGCGUAAAGCGAGCGCAGGCGGUUUCUUAAGUCUGAUGUGAAAGCCCCCGGCUCAACCGGGGAGGGUCAUUGGAAACUGGGAGACUUGAGUGCAGAAGAGGAGAGUGGAAUUCCAUGUGUAGCGGUGAAAUGCGUAGAUAUAUGGAGGAACACCAGUGGCGAAGGCGGCUCUCUGGUCUGUAACUGACGCUGAGGCUCGAAAGCGUGGGGAGCAAACAGGAUUAGAUACCCUGGUAGUCCACGCCGUAAACGAUGAGUGCUAAGUGUUGGAGGGUUUCCGCCCUUCAGUGCUGCAGCUAACGCAUUAAGCACUCCGCCUGGAGAGUACGACCGCAAGGUUGAAACUCAAAGGAAUUGACGGGGGCCCGCACAAGCGGUGGAGCAUGUGGUUUAAUUCGAAGCAACGCGAAGAACCUUACCAGGUCUUGACAUCCUUUGACCACUCUAGAGAUAGAGCUUCCCCUUCGGGGGCAAAGUGACAGGUGGUGCAUGGUUGUCGUCAGCUCGUGUCGUGAGAUGUUGGGUUAAGUCCCGCAACGAGCGCAACCCUUUAUUGUUAGUUGCCAUCAUUUAGUUGGGCACUCUAGCAAGACUGCCGGUGAACAACCAGAAGGAAGGUGAG
rnacentral:rRNA from 1 species